ensembl:lncRNA
AUAAUGAUAAGCUAUGCCACCCAUGAAGAAGAGGUAGAAGAAGUCGAAAAAGAUGCCGCGUCCAAGCAAGCAGUCCAAGGCAGCCAAGCGGCGCUGUGCUGAAAGAGGGCUGACUGCAGUAGACCUGGGGUCUGCUGCCGAGGUCGCGCUUCCUCGUAAAAUUAAAGUUGCCAAGGUCGCGCUUCCUCGUAAAAUUAAAGUUGCCGAGGUCGCGCUUCCUCGUAAAAUUAAAGUUGCCGAGUUUGCGCUAAUUCGUAAAAGUCAAGUUGCCGAGGUCGCGCUUCCUCGUAAAAACAAAGUUGCCGAGAUGGCGCUUCCUCGUAAAAAACAAGUUGCCUCCAAAACUCUGCCAAAACUCUGCCAACAUUCUGCCAACAUUUUGCCAACAAUUUGCCAACAAUCUGCCAAAACUCUGCCAAAACUCUGCCAAAACUCUGCCAAAAUUCUGCCAAAUGACCUGCCAAAUACUGUGAAUUACAUGAAAGACGAUAAUGUUACCGAUGAUUGUUUGAUUCUGCCUGUUGACAGAUCUGUGCUGAUGGGGUCGUUUCAUCAAGAUGAUUUACAGUUCGGAAAGGAUCGCAACAAGCAAUGUGGUGCCAUCAGUCUGACUGCAGUUCUGAAGUCCAAUCUGAGUGACGUGUGGACCUGGACGAGCAGAGAUCUCGAUGAUGUUUUGAUUAAGGGAACUGUACUUUACAGAUCAAUGAAUGCACAGCGUCUAAUAAGAGACCAAGAAAGAGAACGGUUUGGCGGAAGUACACCCCGAUUUGAGGCAACAGGUGUGAAAGCUGCAAUAAUCCAUGUCGACCCUGACAACGCCAACUACAGUACAAUGGUAAACCGUCCACUCUACAGUGACAUAGUCAAAGCAUUUGUUACAGCUCGUCUUUGACCUUGACAAACAUCCUGGGAGGAAACUCAUCAUGGGAGACUUCAAUGAGGAUAUCUUUGUGUCGUCUACCAUUGCCAAGUUACUGGAACAGCAUGGGUACAGUCAACACGUGCACACAGCCACAACUGAAAAAGAAUGGAUGUGUAUGAAGGCAAGCAAUGUAAUGGAAGUUUCAACAGAAAACCAAAGAAAAAACGUUUAGAUAUGAGCAUGGCUGAAUAAGGUGAACCGGUGAUUUUAUUAGUAAUGCUCGGAUUAAUUUUUAUGCCAGUGGAUCAUGUCUGUGCUUCAACAAUCGAGUGUUAUCUGUAAUGUUGAAAAAAAACACGACAAACAAAUGUAGUUUAAAUUGUUGCAAAGGAAUACAUUGACUUGUGAACAUUAAGCAGUGAUGCUACCUCAACAGACCUGAUGUGCACUUUUCAGGGAUAAAACAGGACACAUUUUUCUUAACAAAAUAGAGAAUUGCCUACUGCAUCCCAGAACACUACUGUUAAGAGUGAUGCAAAUAAUUGGCAUAAUGUACAUCUGUAUUUGAUGCUUUCCACUUGUGAUCCAUUUCUGUAAACACGGUCUUGUAAGCAAAGGGAUUGGGGUUACUUUACUAUUUAGUA